UAAGAUCUUCAUGGAUCUAUUGACUUCCCUUUUUGAUUCCUUAGAACUGACCAGAGGACAGCUAGAAUGGGGAAAGGAAUAGGUGGGCUCUAUUGCUUCAGUGCACUGACUGAGAUUUGCCCCUGAUUAGGAUGUGAUGGUGAUUAUCUUGCACUGCAACAUCUGAAGGAAUAUUUUCUUUCUAAAACCAUGGACAAGACAUUAGACAGGUGCCGUUAUAGAGACAAAGAAGUACAAUUCUAAAGACCAGAUCAAGGGAGGAAUGAAAUAUAUUGCACAACAUAGUCAUGGACAUCAUGACUGAUAGACUGAGUGUAAAUAUAGAAGUACGCUAGAUUAAAUAAGCCUUCCUGAAUGUGUCUCAGGAGAGAAAGAAGAAACCAAAGUGCAUAGUUACCUUGCAUUGUAUCUGACAACAAUCCUGAUUCAAUCUGUCAAACAAAGUGUAUUGCAGUCACUUUAUUAGUGACCUUUACAGUUAGUGACUUUGAUAAAAGACCUCCCAAACUGAAGAAUGUUUAUUUUAUUUUAAUUCUGUCCUAUAGUAUGUUUCAUACACAACAUUUUUUUCAUUUAUGAUUACAUGGACAAAGGAAAUAUUUUUCUCAUUACUGGAAUAUACAGUUUACUCCAAUUUAUUUUCCAGUAAGUUUAUGUAGGCAUCUCUCACCUGUAAGACUACCAAUUGAUUGCCCUCACUUUAAACCAAAAUUUACCUUGUACAAAAAUCUGGAUUUAUUUUUCACCUUUAUCAUUGUGAAUUACAAUAUAAUGAAAACACCGAACUAUGGAACUGAUCACAUGUUGCAGACCAGUUGUAUGAUGAAUUAGUCUCUCUACUUUGUGCCAUGCUGUUACCCGUAUUGCAUCUACUGUUAGGCAUUGAAAUGUAAGAAGUUUGUCUAUAUACCUACAGAUAUUAUGUCAGUUUUAGACUCACUAUAUGACUUAUCCAUAGGAGGCUCAUUGCCUUCUUAAAACUACUAGAGGCUUCCUACAACUUUUAUGACACAUGGAUUAAGACACUAUCCCUUCUGUAUACUGAUGGAUCUGAAUAGUUUCGUAUUUCUGUCAAGGAACUAGUAGAUUGUGAAAGCUGAUUGUCCUUUUUCAAGCCGACCAACAUAAUAACAGAAGUGUACCUUAUGUAACCCUCUUUCAUGUUCAUGGUCAUUUACUCACAUGACUGCUCACUCUGAAGUCACUAGGACUUUUUCUGUAAGAAAGUAUUUGUCACUGUGAAUUCAAGUUGCACAGUCUUGACAUAAAAACAGUACAUAAUGUUUCCUGUACUCAGUUGUACAUUACAGAUUUCUUUAUUUUUCUUCCUUAAAGAACACUACUGCCUGACUCUAAAGUUAGGUAACAUGAAAAAAUGAUUAAUGGCUAAUUUGCAUUUUUUAUAGAUAUGCAGUUGCUUCUUACAAGACACAGUUUCACAGUGCAUAUCUAUAGAUAACAUUCCAUAUAGAUAACAUGGGAGUUCUAAAUUAUAAUGUAAUAAAUAUAAUUACCUCUGUGAUAACUAUAUAUAAAACAUCAGCAGCAAUGAAUAUGGUAAAACUCUUAAUAACACUUCCAUUAUAUCUAUAAAAGUAGCUCUCAACAAAAAAAACCUAAUAAAGUGUCAAAUAUUUCAUUUUUAAAAAUGUGUUUACUGUUAAAACGGUGUACUUAAAGGAAUAACAUUGCCUCUCCACUAUGAAAUGAAUGGAUAAUUGAUUUCCCACUACAAAUUCACUUUGUUUUUAUUCACCCAUCUUUUCUGCAACAACCCAUUCUUUCUUUUCAUAAGAAAUGUUGAAAAACUGUGUAUU